rnacentral:lncRNA from 1 species
CCCCCCCAGCAACUUAUGAAACUCUAACCAUGAACAUCAACGAAAGUCAUACAUUAGGAAAUGACACAGAUACAACUACAGACUUUGUGGACAGUGAAGAGGACAGCAGCAUGUUCCAGCCAAGGUUUCACAGCACCCAAAAAAGUAAACGCCUGAGAGUGGAACAAUCACACUUGCUAUCAAGAGAGACUGAGCUAUCGAGUGCUUCUGUGACUUAAAAAAAGUUGCCAAGUGAAGUAUCUGAAACAGAUCUGUUUAUCCUUACCCUCCCAAAUGAGGGAAAAGAAGAAUGGAAAAUCAACCAGCACAUCGUUGCAGCCAUGAGGGCUGGAAAACUGUCACAACACAUAAAUGCAUUUAUUUUGGUGUGUGCAAAACACCUUCUGAAAACGGUGACGUUGGAUAAACGGUUGAACCAGCGGAAGAGCAUUUAUAAACGUUACGCUCAAAUGAUUGUGAAACAACACCCCUGCCUUGCAGAUAAUAACUGUGAAGAUAACUAUCUUACUGUGAAACAUAAAGUGGUUCGAGCUGUUGGUAAUCAAAUAGAUUCCAAGAAACAUGGAAGAAUUCGCAACUUAAAAAGAAAUCAACAGAAGGCGAGUGCAAAGCGGAAUUCGGGUGGCCUAAACCAGUAUGAUGCUGCCAACUCUACUUCCUGCAAUUUAUCUACUGCUGUCGAUGAUGAUUUUCCUGAUCAUGAAAGUGAAGAACAGUUAAGAAGAAAGCAUUAUUUUGACGCAAGGCGUGAGUUUUUCAAAAUUAAUCACAAACUUUCUCUUGCAAAGUUAUUAGAAAAGACACCGCAUUAUCAUGAUUUUGAAAAGGCUUACGAUGAUUUUCUAAUGAUGUAUCCCAUGUCUUGCAUAACCGAGGGAAAAGUUUCAGAAGGCAUUUGAGAGCACAUUGCUUACUUUUCGACGCUUUCUGGAAAGAAACAGUGAUAAGGGCGGGCAAAAGUGGGCUGAUGGUGCAAAAAUGGAUCUUGAAGUACUGCUUGCAGUUAACGCUUUGUGUUCAACAAGCCGCGGUGUGAAAGGGGCAAAGCCAGUUUUUCUUAUUCGUGAAGUUGGAAAAAACGUCGAACCCGAUUACUCUGGAGUAAACUCAAGUGCCAUUGUGUUCUUUAAUGGAAAUUCUCUCCACUCCAUGCUAAUCAUUGUUGGAUGGUCCUGCAAUGUAAACUACAAGAACAUCAAUGUUUCAAGUGUGUGUCAGGUGGUUUUGAACCUGUUAAGUGUGUACUACGUGACUGACUGUAAUUAUCCAGCCAUGUAUGGUGUCCUUUCACUAAUUGAUCGUUUGUGCCUUCAUCAAUAAGGUUUUCCGAGACAGAAACCAGUGCAGAAAGACUCUUUGAGUAUGGUUACUUUUCUGAAAAAGUAUGACAAAUUUGUCUUGAAUGACGACGAAAACCAGCAAGCACAAGAACUGCCUUUGGAAGAAGAAUCGUCUUAGAUUUGGAAAUUCUUACUUUGAUUUGUUUCUUAAUCUGUGCUAAUCUUUUAAAGAAAUAGGUUAGCCUGUUACAUCUGCCAUUUUCGUAACUUAGUGCUUGAUCCAGAUGGUGAUGCUGCUUGUGCUUUGAAUUCCUGCUGCCGUUAAAAAU